AUGAACGCUAGCUACAGGCUUAACACAUGCAAGUCGAGGGGCAGCAUGGUCUUAGCUUGCUAAGGCCGAUGGCGACCGGCGCACGGGUGAGUAACACGUAUCCAACCUGCCGUCUACUCUUGGACAGCCUUCUGAAAGGAAGAUUAAUACAAGAUGGCAUCAUGAGUCCGCAUGUUCACAUGAUUAAAGGUAUUCUGGUAGACGAUGGGGAUGCGUUCCAUUAGAUAGUAGGCGGGGUAACGGCCCACCUAGUCUUCGAUGGAUAGGGGUUCUGAGAGGAAGGUCCCCCACAUUGGAACUGAGACACGGUCCAAACUCCUACGGGAGGCAGCAGUGAGGAAUAUUGGUCAAUGGGCGCAGGCCUGAACCAGCCAAGUAGCGUGAAGGAUGACUGCCCUAUGGGUUGUAAACUUCUUUUAUAAAGGAAUAAAGUCGGGUAUGCAUACCCGUUUGCAUGUACUUUAUGAAUAAGGAUCGGCUAACUCCGUGCCAGCAGCCGCGGUAAUACGGAGGAUCCGAGCGUUAUCCGGAUUUAUUGGGUUUAAAGGGAGCGUAGAUGGAUGUUUAAGUCAGUUGUGAAAGUUUGCGGCUCAACCGUAAAAUUGCAGUUGAUACUGGAUAUCUUGAGUGCAGUUGAGGCAGGCGGAAUUCGUGGUGUAGCGGUGAAAUGCUUAGAUAUCACGAAGAACUCCGAUUGCGAAGGCAGCCUGCUAGGGUGAAACAGACGCUGAGGCACGAAAGCGUGGGUAUCGAACAGGAUUAGAUACCCUGGUAGUCCACACCGUAAACGAUGGAUACUAGGUGUAGGGUGUGAUAAACAUUCUGUGCCGUCGCAAACGCAAUAAGUAUCCCACCUGGGGAGUACGGCCGCAAGGUUGAAACUCAAAGGAAUUGACGGGGGCCCGCACAAGCGGAGGAACAUGUGGUUUAAUUCGAUGAUACGCGAGGAACCUUACCCGGGCUUAAAUUGCAGAUGAAUUACGGUGAAAGCCGUAAGCCGCAAGGCAUCUGUGAAGGUGCUGCAUGGUUGUCGUCAGCUCGUGCCGUGAGGUGUCGGCUUAAGUGCCAUAACGAGCGCAACCCUUGUUGUCAGUUACUAACAGGUUCCGCUGAGGACUCUGACAAGACUGCCAUCGUAAGAUGUGAGGAAGGUGGGGAUGACGUCAAAUCAGCACGGCCCUUACGUCCGGGGCUACACACGUGUUACAAUGGGGGGUACAGAGGGCCGCUACCACGCGAGUGGAUGCCAAUCCCAAAAACCUCUCUCAGUUCGGACUGGAGUCUGCAACCCGACUCCACGAAGCUGGAUUCGCUAGUAAUCGCGCAUCAGCCACGGCGCGGUGAAUACGUUCCCGGGCCUUGUACACACCGCCCGUCAAGCCAUGGGAGCCGGGGGUACCUGAAGUGCGUAACCGCGAGGAGCGCCCUAGGGUAAAACUGGUGACUGGGGCU
rnacentral:rRNA from 1 species